GAUGAAGAACGCAGCGAACUGCGAUAAGUAAUGUGAAUUGCAGAAUUCAGUGAAUCAUCGAGUCUUUGAACGCACAUUGCGCCCCCUGGCAUUCCGGGGGGCAUGCCUGUCCGAGCGUCAUUGCUGCCCUUCAAGCCCGGCUUGUGUGUUGGGUCGUCGUCCCCCCCGGGGGACGGGCCCGAAAGGCAGCGGCGGCACCGCGUCCGGUCCUCGAGCGUAUGGGGCUUUGACACCCGCUCGAUUAGGGCCGGCCGGGCGCCAGCCGGCGUCUCCAACCUUCUAUUUUACCAGGUUGACCUCGGAUCAGGUAGGGAUACCCGCUGAACUUAAGCAUAUCAAUAAGCGGAGGA
rnacentral:misc_RNA from 1 species